rnacentral:rRNA from 1 species
ACGCUGGCGGCGUGCCUAAUACAUGCAAGUCGAACGAACGGAUAAAGAGCUUGCUCUUUGAAGUUAGUGGCGGACGGGUGAGUAACACGUGGGUAACCUGCCUCACAGCUGGGAUAACAUCGAGAAAUCGAUGCUAAUACCGAAUGUGCUGAACAUCAUAAGAUGUUCAAGUGAAGACGGUUUCGGCUGUCACUGUGAGAUGGACCCGCGCUGGAUUAGCUAGUUGGUAAGGUAAUGGCUUACCAAGGCGACGAUCCAUAGCCGACCUGAGAGGGUGAUCGGCCACAUUGGGACUGAGACACGGCCCAAACUCCUACGGGAGACAGCAGUAGGGAAUCUUCGGCAAUGGACGAAAGUCUGACCGAGCAACGCCGCGUGAGCGAAGAAGGCCUUCGGGUCGUAAAGCUCUGUUGUUAGAGAAGAACAUGGGUGAGAGUAACUGUUCACCCCUUGACGGUAUCUAACCAGAAAGCCACGGCUAACUACGUG